GACGAACGCUGGCGGCGUGCUUAACACAUGCAAGUCGAACGGUGAAGGGGAGCUUGCUCCCCGGAUCAGUGGCGAACGGGUGAGUAACACGUGGGCAAUCUGCCCCAGACUUCGGGAUAACGCUUCGAAAGAGGUGCUAAUACCGGAUACGAACUCCUUGGGCAUCCUUGGAGUUGGAAAGUUUUUCGGUCUGGGAUGGGCCCGCGGCCUAUCAGCUUGUUGGUGAGGUAACGGCUCACCAAGGCGACGACGGGUAGCCGGCCUGAGAGGGCGACCGGCCAGACUGGGACUGAAACACGGCCCAGACUCCUACGGGAGGCAGCAGUGGGGAAUAUUGCGCAAUGGGCGAAAGCCUGACGCAGCAACGCCGCGUGAGGGAUGACGGCCUUCGGGUUGUAAACCUCUUUCAGCAGGGAAGAAGCGAAAGUGACGGUACCUGCAGAAGAAGCACCGGCUAACUACGUGCAGCAGCCGCCGUAAUAC
rnacentral:rRNA from 1 species